UACGAAGGGUGCAAGCGUUACUCGGAAUUACUGGGCGUAAAGCGUGCGUAGGUGGUGCGUUAAGUCUGUCGUGAAAGCCCCGGGCUCAACCUGGGAAUGGCGAUGGAUACUGGCGCGCUAGAGUGCGGUAGAGGAGAGUGGAAUUCCCGGUGUAGCAGUGAAAUGCGUAGAGAUCGGGAGGAACACCGGUGGCGAAGGCGGUUCUCUGGGCCUUACCUGACGCUGAGGAGCGAAAGCGUGGGGAGCGAACAGG
rnacentral:rRNA from 1 species